UCCUGGACUGCUGGCGGCAGUGCACGGCCAGAAUGGGAAAGCAGAGCACCGACUGAAUUGCAGCAGCGAACACUGGACCUUCAAUUUGGCGUUUAGCUCGUUCCUAAAGGAAAUGGCAAUGUUUAAAUGUUUCCCCGCGGUGGUAUUUCAACGCAUUUAACCUUUUACUGGACUAUUCCAUCAAGCCGAGGAACGGUACAUCCGUGUGCUUUAAUUUAGAGUCCAAGCCGAGCAGCUAACGUUAGCUAGCGUAGCCGCGGUCGAGUUAAGCCAUGAGCUCUCUGGUGGGCUACGGAGUGUCCUCAGAGUCCGACAGCGACGGGGACGCGGAGUACGCGAACUAUGAGGGCGUUUGUUUAAUGGGUGGCGAGUCGUCAACUGUCCGAAAAACCCGCAACUUUUUGCUGGAGUCCGGUUCCGCGUCCAGCGGAUCCGAACCAGAGGCAGAGGACCCGAGACUCUGUUCAUCGCCUGCGCAUCCCCACACGCUGGCUUCUUUAGCAUUCCGGCCCACCGUCCCCGCCUCCCUCCCGAGUCCCCUCGCCUCCCAUAAGCUCCCCCCCCCCCUCCCUGAACACCUCCUCUGACAGCGGCGUGUUCGCGAAUCCUUUCAAGGCGCAGGCGGACCGGAAGCUCAGCGCCUUGCAGAAACACGUCCCCCUCACUAUGCAGGCCAAACCUUCCCAGAUCGGUGGUAAGAAGGUGUGCGUGUCGUACAGGAAAAAUGGACGGUGCAGGUUUGGGAUCAAGUGUAAGUUCGCUCAUGACAGUGACCUCCAGACGGACAGCCAACCGGCCGUGAGCGAGGGGACGCCGGGUUCGGAUCAGGCCGAGUACCGCGCAGGAGGAUCCCAGAACCUCAAGCAGACUAAGGAGGAGGAGGAGGAGUCAGCAGGGCAGCAUGGGAAGAAGAGGAAGGUGGGACUGAGUGACACCUUGACUCCUCCUAAGCGAGCAAUGAAGCAGUACGUCACGCAGAGGGGCCGAGAGCAGCUCAACAUGUCCUGAUGCAGCUUUCUGUCUCUCCUCUGUAGGUAAACAUGCUGUAGAAACGUCCACUAUGCAUUAAGAGGACCAGCUAAUGACUCAGGCAACAAACGGUUUCUGCUCAAGCCUGGGGGGGGGGGGGGGGGGAUUCCUUGGGUUUAUGUGUGUUGGUUCACAUCAGUGAAUAUACACUUUGGAUCAAUGUUUUUAUUUUUAUUUUUUUUAAAGUGAAUAGUUGUUUGCUCUACCAAACAUCCUAAAUCACAAUCCAGAAGAGGUGCAAUUUGGGUAUUGACAUUUGCUCUGAGGUUUCUACAUAGCUUUGCUUAUCAAAUCUCAUUUCACUUUUAAGUUCAACUUUGUGACUGUGCUUGCUGUUAUUUUAAGGGUUUGUGUGUGUGAGCUACAGCAUCCUAGGGUUUGUGAGUAGUGUAUAUACAUUAGGUGGGUCAUCAUUCCUUAAAUGUUGGUGUAACAGGUUUAAUGGCACUCCCCAGUUAGCUAAAUAUGUGUUCUUGACUUUUUACACAGCUGUAAGACUUUUUAGGUUUUCAAAUGUUUCUCCUAAGAUUAACAUUUUCUUUUAACCUUGCAAAACAAAGCAAUAAAUCUGGAUAUUAACUGAAA